UUUUUGGAGAGUUUGAUUCUGGCUCAGAACGAACGCUGGCGGCGUGGAUAAGGCAUGCAAGUCGAACGGGCUUAGUAUUUGGAUCCUUUCGGGGUGAAGAAUGCAAAAGCUAGUGGCAAAAGGGUGAGGAACGCGUGAGUGACCUGCCUUUGGCUCAAGGAUAACAGUUUGAAAGAACUGCUAAUACUGGAUAAUACUAUUAAGUUAUUACUUAAUAGUUAAAGGUGGCCUCUGAAUAUGCUACCGGCCUUAGAGGGGCUCGCGUCCUAUUAGCUUGUUGGUAGGGUAAUGGCUUACCAAGGCAACGAUGGGUAGCCGGUCUGAGAGGAUGGUCGGCCACACUGGGACUGAGACAC
rnacentral:rRNA from 1 species